CCUACGGGCGGCAGCAGUGGGGAAUAUUGCGCAAUGGGCGAAAGCCUGACGCAGCGACGCCGCGUGAGGGAAGAAGGCCCUCGGGUUGUAAACUUCUUUUAUCAAGGACGAAACAAAUGACGGUAAUUGAUGAAUAAGCCACGGCUAACUACGGGCCAGCAGCCGCGGUAAUACGUAGGUGGCAAGCGUUAUCCGGAUUUACUGGGUGUAAAGGGCGGGUAGGCGGGGCGGCAAGUCAGAUGUGAAAGCCAUGGGCUCAACCCAUGAGCUGCAUUUGAAACUGUAGUUCUAGAGUGUUGGAGAGGCAGGCGGAAUUCCGUGUGUAGCGGUGAAAUGCGUAGAUAUACGGAGGAACACCAGUGGCGAAGGCGGCCUGCUGGACAAUAACUGACGCUGAGGCGCGAAAGCGUGGGGAGCAAACAGGAUUAGAUACCCCGGUAGUC
rnacentral:rRNA from 1 species